rnacentral:lncRNA from 1 species
ACAGAAGAGGAAACUCUAUGAAGGGUAAUCAGUGUUUGGUGGUCUUUCCUGGCCAAAGUGAGGGCAAGAGAUUGUUAAACAGCUUAGGAAAUGCAGUAGAGAUACCAAGAUGGCCCUUUUUUUGGAUUUGGGAAUGGGAUAAUUCUGCUCUCCUUUGGAAUUCUCCCCGGCACAUCUCCUUGGAGCAUCACAAGCUUCCUGGUGUGAAAACCUACGGGCCUACUGGGAGGAAUUCUUGUGCCUGGUUUGCCCAUCAUGGUGCUCCCACCUCCAGGUCCAGUGCUCGGCGUUAAGUAAGUGCUUCAUGAAUAUGUGUUCCAUGAAUCCACUGCCUUAUCUGCUCACUCAUCUUAGGACAAGCCAAGGAGGAGAACCAGAAGCACAGAAAGGAGGGAGUGUGUGUGAGUUCACUUAUCAAGCCCCCCCAAAAGUGCAUCUGUUAUGUGUCAGGCUCUGGGGAUGUGAAAAAGUUGGCAGAAGAGAAACCAGUUGACUGCCUUCAAGAUCUUAACUUCUAGGAGUUCCUAUUGUGGGUCAGAGGUAAUGAACCCAACUAGUAUCCGUAAGGUUUGAUGCCAGGUCUCACUCAGUGGGUUAAGGAUCUGGCAUUGCCAUGAGCUUGGUAGGUUGCAGAAAAGGCUCAGAUCCAGCUGGUGGCUACCGCUCGCAUUUGACCCCUAGCCUGGGAACUUCCAUACACUGUGGGUAUGGCCCUAAAAACAAAAAACAAAAAAA